CCAAUUUCCUCAUUAUUAUGACAAACUGAGAAGUUCCUACAGGCAGAAUGCAAAUCCAAAUUAUCUCCCAAUUUAUCACUGGUUCAUUCUAUUUCCAAUGAGUUUCAGAGUAGUGUUCGAGAAGUUACAGUGUAUCUGGUAAUAGAUAAUCCAUGAUUAGUAAUAUCUGAUCAAUAAUGCUCGAGAUAUCAUUUGAUACAAUAAAG